GGCGUCACGACGAACGCUGGCGGCGUGCUUAACACAUGCAAGUCGAACGGGAUUAAGCUGGAAAGGCUUCGGCCCGGAAGGAUUAAUUCGAGUGGCGGACGGGUGAGUAACGCGUGAGCAACCUGUCCCAGACAGGGGAUAACACUUGGAAACAGGUGCUAAUACCGCAUAAGACCACGGGGUCACAUGGCCUUGGGGUAAAAGGAGCAAUCCGGUUUGGGUGGGCUCGCGUCCGAUUAGAUAGUUGGUGAGGUAACGGCCCACCAAGUCAACGAUCGGUAGCCGACCUGAGAGGGUGAUCGGCCACAUUGGAACUGAGAGACGGUCCAAACUCCUACGGGAGGCAGCAGUGGGGAAUAUUGGGCAAUGGGCCGAAAGCCUGACCCAGCAACGCCGCGUGAGUGAAGAAGGCCUUCGGGUUGUAAAGCUCUGUUAUAGGGGACGAAGGAAGUGACGGUACCCUAUAAGGAAGCCCCGGCUAACUACGUGCCAGCCGCCGC
rnacentral:rRNA from 1 species